rnacentral:rRNA from 1 species
UCAAGCUAAUAAGAGCGCAAGGGGAAUGCCUUGGCAUCAGGAGCCGAUGAAGGACGUGACAAGCUGCGAAAAGCUUCGGGGAGCUGCAAAUAAGCAUUGAUCCGGAGAUAUCCGAAUGGGGAAACCCGGUACGGCAAUACCGUAUCAACGUGCUGUGAAUCAAAUAGCAGUACGUAGGGAACCGCCUGAACUGAAACAUCUAAGUAGGGCGAGGAAAAGACAUCAACCGAGAUUCCGCUAGUAGUGGCGAGCGAACGCGGAAGAGGCCAAACCGAAGGUAGCAAUAUCUUCGGGGUUACGGACAGACAUCAUGAUCAGAGGUAUCUAGACGAACGGCAUGGGAAGGCCGGCGAGACAGUGUGAGAGCCACGUAGUCGAAAGAGAAGACUGACAGUCUGGAUCCAGAGUACCGCAGGACACGAGGAACCCUGUGGGAAGUCGGGGGGACCACCCUCCAAGCCUAAAUACUACCUGAUGACCGAUAGAGGAGAAGUACCGUGAGGGAAAGGUGAAAAGAACCCCGGGAGGGGAGUGAAAUAGUACCUGAAACCUUGUGCUUACAAGCAGUUACAGCCCGUUAAAGGGUGGUAGCGUACUUUUUGUAGAACGGUCCGGCGAGUUAUAGUCACUAGCGAGCUUAAGACAUUCAGUGUUGGAGGCGUAGGGAAACCGAGUCUGAACAGGGCGAAUGAAGUUAGUGGCCAUAGACCCGAAACCAUGUGACCUAGCCAUGAGCAGGAUGAAGUGGAGGUAAAGCUCCAUGGAGGUCCGAACGCACGUUCGUUGCAAUGACCGGCGAUGACUUGUGGCUAGCGGUGAAAUUCCAAUCGAACUUGGAGAUAGCUGGUUCUCCCCGAAAUAGCUUUAGGGCUAGCGUUGGGAAUGAGUUUAGCGGAGGUAAAGCACUGAAUGAGCUAGGGGGCGCAAGCUUACUGAACUCUAUCAAACUAAGAAUGCCGCAUAAAUGCUUCCCAGCAGUCAGACUGCGAGUAAUAAAAUCCGUGGUCAAAAGGGUAACAGCCCAGACCCACAGCUAAGGUCCCCAAUACAUGCUAAGUGGAAAACGAUGUGAGAUUGCAUAAACAACCAGGAUGUUGGCUUAGAGGCAGCCACUCGUUCAAAGAGUGCGUAAUAGCUCACUGGUCGAGUGAUCUUGCGCGGAAAAUUUAACGGGGCUAAGCAUGUAACCGAAGCUUGGGAUUGCGCAAUGCGCAGUGGUAGGGGAGCGUCGUGUACGGGGUGAAGUACGAUCGAGAGGACGUGUGGACUGUACACGAGUGAGAAUGCCGGAAUGAGUAGCGAGAAUUAUGUGGGAAUCAUAAUGGCCGAAAAUCUAAGGUUUCUUGGGGAAGGUUCGUCCGCCCAAGGUAAGCCGGGAGCUAAGGCGAGGCCGAAAGGCGUAGUCGAUGCACAUACGGUUGAAAUUCCGUAGCCACCUUAUCGAUCAAAGCUGACACAUGGAGAUAGCCGAACCCGGGCGUUGGUUGACCCGGGCGAAAGGGACCGAACUACAGUAGGGAAGUCGGCGAUGCUCUGUGGCGAGAAAAGGCGAAGAUAGGGUGCCCGUACCGCAAACCGACACAGGUAGAUGAGGAGAGAAUCCUAAGGCCAACGGGAGAAGGGUUGUUAAGGAACUCGGCAAAUUGACCCCGUAACUUCGGGAUAAGGGGAGCCUCCUACGGGAGGCCGCAGUGAAUAGGCCCAAGCAACUGUUUACCAAAAACACAGGUCUCUGCUAAAUCGAAAGAUGACGUAUAGGGGCUGACGCCUGCCCGGUGCCGGAAGGUUAAGAGGAGAGCUUAGCGCAAGCGAAGGUUCGAAUUGAAGCCCCGGUAAACGGCGGCCGUAACUAUAACGGUCCUAAGGUAGCGAAAUUCCUUGUCAGGUAAGUUCUGACCCGCACGAA